rnacentral:rRNA from 1 species
ACACGACUACAUUAGAUACCCCCUGUAGUCCCAGCCCUAAACGAUGCGCGUUAGGUGUAUCGGUGACCACGAGUCACCGAGGUGCCGAAGGGAAACCGUGAAACGUGCCGCCUGGGAAGUACGGUCGCAAGGCUGAAACUUAAAGGAAUUGGCGGGGGAGCACCACAACGGGUGGAACCUGCGGUUUAAUUGGACUCAACGCCGGGAAGCUCACCGGAUAAGACAGCGGAAUGAUUGCCGGGCUGAAGACCCUGCAUGACCAGCUG